rnacentral:lncRNA from 1 species
UUUCUCGAUGUCACAUUCCAAAAUCCCCUUUUGCUUCUCUGAAGCUUAAAACAUUGCUAUUUCUUGCAUUUCGAGAUCCUUGUUAUAUUUAUGGUCUCAUAAGAAAAAAAUUGCUUUUGUUCCAGAGUUACUUUUGUACAUUGUAUAUUUGGUAUGGUCUUGCUAGGUUAUAUAUAUACUGCUAAGGUCUUUGGCAUUGAGAAUUGAGAUUGUUAGUGGUUUUGUGACAAUUUUUUGGGGAUGAUCUCGUAAUAAAGGAGUUACAUUUUUCUGCAGUUAGUUACAGUAGAAAUUGUUCAUCUCUCUUUUCUUGCAAGGUCUAUUAUUCUAUUUUAACAGCUUAGUGGUGCUAGUAAUAAUUUACUAUCUUCCCUAUUUUAGAAGAAAAGAAAAAACUUCUAGAGGCCAUUGGAUUUGAACCUUGAGUUGGUUUCAUGGACAAUUUAUGCAUCUGUAGAGAGUUAGCUACAAUAGCAUCUGGCAAGUAAUUGAUUUUGAUAGCUUAGUGGAAUGAUUGUAGUAACUUGAUCUAUCUGUCUUAAGAAAGAACUACAGAUUCAGUUUUGAUGCCAUCUUGUUUCAGCAACAAAGUAGUUUAGUGGUGGUUGUCCAUUUUUCUUUUAUCAUGUUCUGAGCAUGAUUUUUCAAUUUGCUUGUGGCUUGUGAUAACAGGGGAUCAAAGAUCUUCUCCACCUUUGUCACCUUCUUGAAGAGCAAGGACGCCAGCGAUGGCUCGGAGAAGGCACUUGUUGACGAGCUGCAGGCACUGGAAGAGCACCUAAAGGCCCAUGUAAGUAGGCCGAACUGUUUUCGCAGUUGACACGGCAGUUGCUUUUCUGCAGUGGAAUAGACAUAACACAUGCUUCCACAACCGUUCCAUUAUAUCCAUGCUUCACUCACUGGCUUCACUAUCUCAGCACUCAUCCUGUCUGCAAUAAUUUCAUUUUGCCACAUUGCCUUAUCGUGCAAGACGUGGGGCCUUUGUCUGUUCAGUCUUGAGCAUCUGGCUUGAUCUUGAUCAAACGAAACUUCCGCUAACAUGAUGGUCAAAACUGUGCUGGCAGGGACCCUACAUCAACGGGGCGAACGUCUCCGCCGCGGAUCUCAGCUUGGCUCCGAAGCUCUUCCACCUCCAGGUUGCCCUGGAGCACUUCAAAGGCUGGAAGGUCCCUGAAACACUGACCAGCGUCCAUGCUUACACCGAGG